rnacentral:rRNA from 1 species
UACAGAGGCCCCAAGCGUUAGGCGGAAUCACUGGGCUUAAAGCGUGUGUAGGCGGGUCGUUAAGUACCUUGUGAAAUCCCACGGCUUAACCGUGGAACCGCUUGGUAUACUGGCGGUCUUGAGCCACUUAGGGGCUACCGGAACAGAUGGUGGAGCGGUGAAAUGCGUAGAUAUCAUCUGGAACGCCUAUGGUGAAAACAGGUAGCUGGGAGUGUGCUGACGCUGAGACACGAAAGCCAGGGGAGCGAACGGG